GCCUAAUACAUGCAAGUCGAGCGGACUUGCUGGAGCUUGCUCCAGCAGGUUAGCGGCGGACGGGUGAGUAACACGUGGGCAACCUGCCUGUAAGACUGGGAUAACUCCGGGAAACCGGAGCUAAUACCGGAUAGUAUCUUGAACCGCAUGGUUCAAGAUGGAAAGACGGUUUCGGCUGUCACUUGCAGAUGGGCCCGCGGCGCAUUAGCUAGUUGGUGAGGUAAUGGCUCACCAAGGCAACGAUGCGUAGCCGACCUGAGAGGGUGAUCGGCCACACUGGGACUGAGACACGGCCCAGACUCCUACGGGAGGCAGCAGUAGGGAAUCUUCCGCAAUGGACGAAAGUCUGACGGAGCAACGCCGCGUGAGUGAUGAAGGUUUUCGGAUCGUAAAACUCUGUUGUCAGGGAAGAACAAGUGCGAGAGUAACUGCUCGCACCUUGACGGUACCUGACCAGAAAGCCACGGCUAACUACGUGCCAGCAGCCGCGGUAAUACGUAGGUGGCAAGCGUUGUCCGGAAUUAUUGGGCGUAAAGCGCGCGCAGGCGGUUUCUUAAGUCUGAUGUGAAAGCCCCCGGCUCAACCGGGGAGGGUCAUUGGAAACUGGGAAACUUGAGUGCAGAAGAGGAGAGUGGAAUUCCACGUGUAGCGGUGAAAUGCGUAGAGAUGUGGAGGAACACCAGUGGCGAAGGCGACUCUCUGGUCUGUAACUGACGCUGAGGCGCGAA
rnacentral:rRNA from 2 species